rnacentral:rRNA from 1 species
CGGCACGGGUGAGUAACCCGUAUCCAACCUGCCGUCUACUCUUGGACAGCCUUCUGAAAGGAAGAUUAAUACAAGAUGGCAUCAUGAGUCCGCAUGUUCACAUGAUUAAAGGUAUUCCGGUAGACGAUGGGGAUGCGUUCCAUUAGAUAGUAGGCGGGGUAACGGCCCACCUAGUCUUCGAUGGAUAGGGGUUCUGAGAGGAAGGUCCCCCACAUUGGAACUGAGACACGGUCCAA